UUUAUUUUUAGGAGAGACGGGGUUUCACCAUGUUAGCCGGGAUGGUAUUGAUCUCCUGACCUCGUGAUCCACCCGCCUCAGCCUCCCAAAGUGCUGGGAUUACAAGCGUGAGCCACCACACCUGGCCGUUUUGUUUGUUUUUUUUUAAGAGAUGGGGUCUCACCCUGUCACCCAGGCUGGAGUAUAGUGGUGCAAUUAUAGCUCACUGUAAUUUGAACUCCUGGACUAAAGUGAUCCUCUUGCCUCAGCCUCCAAAAUAGCUGGGACUGUAUUUGGGACUACAGGCGUUUGCCACUAUACCCAGUUAAUUGUUUUUGUUGUUGUUUUGUUUGUUUUGUUUGCUUUUUGUAGAGCCAGGAUCUUGUAUUGCCCAGUAUUGCCUUGAACUCCUGGCCUCAAGCAAUUCUCCCAUGUCAGCCUCCCAAAGCACUGGAAUUAUAGGCAUGAGUCAUGGUGCCUGUCUCAUUUUAACUUAAUUUUUGUAUAGGGUAUUAGGUAAGGAUCCAGCUUCAUUUUUCACCUGUGGAUAUCCAGUUUUCCCAAUGCCAUUUGUUGAAAAUUCUGUCUUUUCCUCAUUGAAUGGUAUUAGAUAAAAAUUAUUUGACCAUACAGGCAAGAGUGUAUUUCUGGGCAUUCUGUUGUGUAUAUGCAGUGUGAUUUAAAUUGUCUCCUGUUGGUACCCACUUAGGCUAUAUUCAAUAGUUGCUAUUAUCAGAGUCCUGCAGUAAAUACUCGUUUACAUAGAUCAUUUCAUGUAAUGUAUAAGUGUAACUAUAAGAGAAAUUUCUGAAAGUGGAAUUGUUAAAGGGUAAGUUUAACAUAUUGCAGUUUUUACAUAUUUUGUCUAGUUUUCCUUUAAACUGUACCAGUAUACACUUCCACACACAAUGUAUGAGAGUACCCAUUUCCCCAAACUCUUCAACAUCGUAUUUUCAAACAUUGCUUAAAACCUUUUGGUUGUAUGAUAUAGUACUGUAAGAAACACACUCACCCAUCCAAACCCGAAGAAUGGACUUAGAGGCACGAAGAACAGCGAAAGUGAGACUUUAAUAACGAUCUUGCAAGGUCGGGUGUCUGAGCAGGUACAUCCAGGGAAGUCACAACAGGUAAUUUAUCUCCUAGCACACAAGUCCCUCCACGAGUUCUGCAUUGGUUGAGUACUAUGGGGUUACAAUCUUCCAAGACGUUGCCUAAGUUUCAUUAUCCCCCUUAUAAGGUUAUAUCCCGUCCCUUUCCCUGCUUAAGUUUCGAUUUCCUGAUAACGAAACUUUCUUUCCUUUUACGGGCUGAACCCUCCUCUACAUUCUGUUUGCUUAUUGUGACCUAGGUGCAUUAGCCAGGCAUUUUGUCACAUUUGCAGGCUAGCUGCCAAUACUUAGAUUUAUCAUGCCUUGAAAAUUGACCAUUUAAAAUAUUUUCUUACUGUACAAAUACAAAAAAGUUACAUAAAACAAAUUAGUUACUGUAGGGAGAUCAAUAGUUGUUACCUCCACCAGGUCAAGAAAUAGACCUUUGCCAGUCUUUCCAUAAGUCCUUCAUGUACUCUGUUCUAGUCACAAUUCCCUCUUCUCUAAAAGUAACUGCCUAGCCAGGCAUGGUAGCUCAU
rnacentral:lncRNA from 10 species